rnacentral:miRNA from 13 species
CAGAUCAUCUCUUGGCUAUG